GUCUCUUGUCACACUGUGGGCUCUAAAAUCAAUAAGCAAACUGCCUUGUUCUCAGACUCUCCAUCCUCUCUUCUGCAGUCAACGGUCAUAACUUUUUGAGGACAAAUGUUUAUUGCUGCUGCUGGGGGCAGCUGCUCUUGUACCCACUUUCAAAUGGGCUGUGGAAGAGACAACGCUCAUCUGGCUGCUGGGGCAGUGGCAUCCUCAUGCAAGCUGGUCUACUGGUGGCUGCCCCUGUGACCUGCUUCUGAAUGGCCAGGCAGGAAAGGUCUCCCACUGUGUUGCAUUUAAAGAAAAGAAAAAGAUGAAUUAAGUAAAAAGCUCUGCAAACAACUGAGUGUAAUUAUUGGAUAUGUAUAAACUUAUGCAUAUUUUCCUUUUUUUAAUUAUACUUUAAGUUCUAG
rnacentral:lncRNA from 1 species